rnacentral:lncRNA from 1 species
CAGGCAUGGUGGUGCACGCUUGUAAUCCCAACUACGUGGGAGGCUGAGGCAGGAGAAUUGCUUCAGGUGGAGGUUGUGGUGAGCCGAGGUCGUGCCACUGUGCUCCAGCCUGGGCGACAGAGCGAGACUCCAUCACAACAACAACAACAACAACAACAGCAGCAGCAGCAGCAACAAGAACAACUCCACCCACAAAUGCUAUCUGGGUCAGAAUAAAGAAAAGAUGUAAGGAAUAACUACUGGAGCUUCAAGCACAGGCUGCUAGGAAUGGGAAGAAAACGAAUUUGAGAGGCACUGUGCAAAAGACAACAGGUGUGACUUGCUGCCUGUGGAGGAGGGUGAAGGGGAAGAAAGCGUCAAAGACAUUCUGAAGGUUCAAGCCUGUAUGACUGGGAAGAUGGGGACACUUGCAAAAUGUAGGAAGAUAAGAGAUGCCACCACUUGGAAGGAGACGGGGGAAUGAUGAGACAAUCUCGAUGUUCCUAACUGCAUACCCCAGCAGAGGCCUUUUAAAAGCCUCGCUGUGCUGAAACGGAUGAAAAAUCCUGUCCACUGCUUAGUACUAUUUGAUUCACGUUGGCUGCCAAACAGAUUAUCACAAAAUGUAGUGGCAUAAAGCCACCAUUUAUUAUACUCACAGAUUCUGUGGGUCAGGAAUUCAGACAGGGCACAGCAGGGACAGCUUUUCUCUGAAGUCUGGGGUCUCUACUAGAGAGCUUGAAGGCUGGACGCUGGAAGCAUCUGAAGACCAGCCUAUUCUUGUGUCUGGAGGUCAAGGCUGGCUGUCAGCUUGAGGCCUUAGUUUUUCUCCAUAUGGGUGAAUCUGGGCUUCUCACAGUGUGGUAGCUGACUUCCCCAGAGCAAUUGUCUAACCCCAGCUCUUGAAAAAAGUGAGUCAGCUAGAAGCUGUAUCAUAACCUAGCUUAGAAAGUUACAAACCAUGGCCUCUGUUGUCCUUGUUUGGUUGGAGCAGUCGUAAGUCCCACCCAGUCUCAUAGAAUGGAACAUAGGCCCCACCUCUUGGUGAGAGGACUGCAAAAGUCACAUUGUAAGAAAAGCAUGUAGGGGUGACAUCCAUGAACAGGGAAGAAUAAGGAACAUCAAAAGUCCCUCCAAAAAAGCAAUAAAUAAACUGGCAAAAACUGCCAGAAUCAACUUUUUUAGAAUUCUAGAACCUAAGCAAAAGCUUACAGCAACCAGGAGGACUUAAUCAAGAAAGACUAACUACUUUUGCAAAAAUUAUGAGUGAGGGAAAUCUAACAUAACUGACUCCAUCUUCCUUCUAACCUCACAAGCUGUCUUUGCUCAUUCCAGGCUAACUAUAGGAGGAAUUUUGUAUUUACUUUUAUUUUUAUUUUUUGAGACAGGGUUUCACUCUGUCACCCAGGCUGGAGUGCAGUGACACACUCAUGGCUCACUGCAGCUUCGACCUCCCAACCUCAAGCAAUCCUACUGUCUCAGCCUCCUGAGUAGCUGGGACUACAGGCACAUAACCACCAUGCCCAGCUAAUUUUUGUUUUGUUUUCUUUUGUUUUGAUAGAUGGGGUUUCAUCAUAUUACCCAGGCUGGUCUUGAACUCCUGGUCUUGAGUGAUCCUCCCACCUUGGCCUCCCAAAGUGCUGGGAUUACAGGUGUGAGCCACCGUGCCUGGCCUACGAAUUUAUAGUUUAAUGUUAAAACAAAAAUGAAAAUAGUUCCUUCUCAUAACUAACCCCCUCCUUGCUCAGGACCAAAACUGCUUUUGUAAAACUAACCAAAGGCCUCAAGCUUAGAAAUGUGAUAGGGCCCUGAAUUCUGCUAAGAUGUAGGCACAAACUCUAAUCAGCCAUUGUUUCUUCUGCUAAGAUGUAGGCAGAGUUAAACUCUAACCAGUCAUUGUUUUAUAACUUGACUGUUUAAAACUACUUGGCCCGGCACGGUGGCUCAUGCCUAUAAUCCCAGCACUUUGGGAAGCUGAGGUGGGUGGAUCACGAGGUCAGGAGUUCAAAACCAGCCUGGCCAAGAUGGUGAAACCCCAUCUCUACUAAAAAUACAAAAAAAUUAGCCGGGUGUGGUUGUGGGUGCCUGUAAUCCCAGCUACUCGGGAGGCUGAGGCAGAGAAUUGCUUGAACCUGGGAGGUGAAGGUUGCAGUGAGCCGAGAUGGCACCACAGCACUCCAGCCUGGGCUAUAGAGUGAGACUCCAUCUAAAAAAAAAAAAAAAACUCUUUACUACUCAGAAGUCACAUAGCCACUGGUCACAAGAUUUGUAACUUCCCCCAAAUGCCCCUGUGGAUAACAUCACUGUUAUAAAACCUAAGACUGAUGUUUGAGAUAUUUUUCAGAUUUGAAUUUCGUAUGGACCAACUGGCACCACCCAUUAAAAAAAGUUGCACCCAGAUAUCAACUCAGCAAAAGAAUAGCAACCCCCUAUGAUUUCAUCCUUGACCCAACCCAUCAGCAUUACUCAUUCCCUAGCCUCCUGCCCACCAAACUAUCCUUGAAAAACCCUAGUCCCCGAAUUCUCAGGGAGGUGGAUUUGAGAAUUAUUUCCCGUCCAUCUGCUUGGUGGGCCCUGUGAUAAUGAAAUUAUUUGCUGCAACACUCUUGCUGCUCUUAGUGCAUUAGCUUUUCUGGGCAGUGGGCAAGAAGAACCCAGCUGGGCAAUUACAAAACUACCUGAAUCUCAGCAAAAGCUCAGGAAGCUCUGUGGUGAUUUAAGUUACCCUCCUUCUAACUCCCACUCCUGUGCUCAGUGAUGAUGGCCUUGAAGGUAAGAGCCCAGGUUUCUAGCACAGGUAAGAAUGCCAGAGGGAGCAGAAUAAUGGAUCUCAUUCACAAAGAAUUGUGGUCAUUCGUUUUGAGCUGUGCGUUUGUCUGCUUGGGCUGCUGUAACAAAAUGCUACAGACUGGGUGGCUUAAACGACAGAAAUGUAUUCUCUUACAGUUCUGGAAGCUCAAAGUCCAAGAUCAAGGUUCUGGCAGAUUUGGCUUUUAGUGAAGGCUCCUCCUGGCUUGUAGAUGCCACCUUCUCAGUGUGUCCUCACAUGGUGGAGAGUUCUCUGGUGUCUCCUCCUCCUUUUAUAAGGCCACCAAUCCAUUGGAUUAGGGCCCACCCUUAUUAACUCAUUUAAUCUUCAUUGCCUCCCAAAGGCCUUAUCUCCAAAUAUAGUCACAUUGGGGCUUAGCUAGGGCCUCAAUAUAUGAAUUUGUGGGAACACGAUUAAGUCCAUAGCAACGUAUCUGGUGGCUCCUUAGCUGAAUGGGCUUACUAUUAUCUUGCCUAACUUGGAACUCUGCCAGUUCUGAGGCAGCUACCAGGGUCCUUUGAUGAAAAGUUAAAGGCAAAUGUAUUAAUCACAACCCUGGAACAAUGGAAAACAGCUGGAGCCAACAGCAGUCUAACCAAAACGCUUGACAGAAAAGGCUAGUGAUGCUUUGGUGAACAAGGGCUUUGAAAAGCUCUGACAUUCUUGGUGUUAUGGGUUGAAAUAUGUAUCCCCCCCACCCCAAAGAUAUGCUGCAUCCUAAUUCCCAGUACAUCAGAGUGCAACCUUAUUUGGAAAUAGAAUCACUGCAGAUGUAGUUAGUUGAGAUCAUACUGGUUUAGGGUAGGCCCUUCCUCUAAUAUGACUGGUGUGCUCAUAAAAUAGCCUUGUGAAGACAUAGACACACAGGAAAAAAUGCCAUGUGAAGACAGAAGUAGAAAUUGGAGUCACGCAUUUAUGACCCAAGCAAUGGCCUGGCUUGUCAGCUGUCACCAGAAGCUAGGUGGAAUGGAACAGAUUCUCGCUUAGUGCCUCCAUAAGGCACCAACUCUGCCAACACCUUGAUUUCAGACUUCUAGCAUCUAGAACUUUGGGAGGCUAAGUUUCUUUUGCUUUAAGCCACUCAAUUUGCAGUACCUUGCAGCCCUAGGAAACUAAUACAAUAGUUAAAUAUUAAAAGACAGUAUAAAUGUAUUUGUUGUUUGCUACUCCUUUUUCUCCUAUCUGAUUUAAAAUACAACUGCAUAAAGCAAUAGUAAUAAAUCUAUGUUGAUGGGUACACAAUAUAUACAGAUGUAAUUUGUGACAAUAACAACUUAAAUGGUGGAGAAUGGAGUUAUGUGGAGCAAAGUUUUGUAUACUAUUCAAACUAAAGUGGUAGUGGCCAGGCACAGUGGCUCCCGCCUGUAAUCCCAGCUACUAGGGAGGCUGAGGCACAAGAACGGCCUGAACCCGGGAGGGGGAGGCUGCAGUGAGCUGAGAUCAUGCCACUGUGCUCCAGCCUGGGGGACAGAGUGAGACUCCAUCUUAAAACAAACAAACAAAAACUAAGGUGGUAUUAAUCAGAACUAGAAUGUUAUAAAUAUAUGUUAAUUGUACCCUCAGGGGAAAUCACUAAAAAAAAAUUCAAAAAUAUAUAUUAAAAGAGAUGACAAUGCUGGGCAUGGUAGCUCACGCCUGUAAUCCCAGCACUUCGGGAGGCCAAGGCAGGCAGAUUACCUGAGGUCAGGAGUUCGAGACCAGCCUGGCCAACAUGGCAAAACCCCAUCUCCACUAAAAUUACAAAAAUUAGUCAGGUGUGGUGGUGCACACCUGUAGCCCUAGCUACUCGUGAG